UACGUAGGGGGCGAGCGUUGUCCGGAGUUACUGGGCGUAAAGCGCUUGUAGGCGGUCCACCAAGUUUGGGGUGACAGUUGCCGACUUAAUCGGCAAAGUGCCUCAAAGACUGGCGGACUUGAGGGCCACAGAGGGACAUGGAACUCCAGGUGUAGUGGUGAAAUGCGUAGAUAUCUGGAAGAACACCAAUGGCGAAGGCAGCUCGCUGGGACGGUACUGACGCUGAGGUGCGAAAGCGUGGGGAGCAAACAGG
rnacentral:rRNA from 1 species